AUAUCAUCACUACAAUUACCACCACCGGUACAACCAGUAACGGGGCGGGCUGACGCAUACAGAAAAGUGAAAAUGAAAAAGCCCGCACUUCACAGUGCGGGCUUUUUUUU
rnacentral:sRNA from 1 species